rnacentral:rRNA from 1 species
GAGGAAUAUUGGGCAAUGGGCGGAAGCCUGACCCAGCAACGCCGCGUGGAGGAAGAAUGCCGUAAGGUUGUAAACUCCUGUAGGGGGGGACGAAAGGCUCGGAGAGUGGAAAGCUCCGGGUUUGACUGUACCCCCAAAGUAAGCCCCGGCUAACUACGUGCCAGCAGCCGCGGUAAUACGUAGGGGGCAAGCGUUGUCCGGAUUCACUGGGUGUAAAGGGCGCGUAGGCGGGUAAUUAAGUCAAAGGUGAAAUCUCACAGCUUAACUGUGAAAGUGCCUUAGAUACUGAUUAUCUAGAGUACGGAAGAGAGAGACGGAAUUCCAGGUGUAGUAGUGAAAUACGUAGAUAUCUGGAAGAACACCAGAGGCGAAGGCGGUCUCUUGGUCCGGUACUGACGCUGAGGCGCGAAAGCGUGGGGAGCAAAC